ACAGGAACCAGAUGGGGAUGAACCGUCAGAGAGCUCCUUGAGUGCUUCCGGUCUUGGAGCCAUCAAGAAGCAUAAAGAAGGAAUGCUAAGGAAAAGCGCCAAGCUCUUCUUCCGUCGGCGACACCAGCAGAAAGACCCAGGCAUGAGCCAGUCACAUAACGAUCUGGUAUUCCUGCAACAGCCCGGAGGGGAAGCUGAAGAAGGGGGCAACUCUCAGCAGGCUCUUGAACAAGAAGUUGCUUCCCAGGCACAGAGGCAAACACACCGUGAAUGAAGCAUCCAGAGAUCCCUGCACAUAGCUUGAGUCACCCCAGUCCUCAAAGCUGGAGGAUGGGACCACAAAGGCCCCCACCAGAACAGUGGAACCAGUGAAAUCAGAUUCGUGCAUUGUC